rnacentral:pre_miRNA from 1 species
UCAAAUCGUUGGAGUUGGCAUGGAGUUGGCGCGUUUGCCUAGGUUUGCCGCUAGGGGCGCUGUUCCAACUGCAUUCAAAUCUGAGUUA